GAUUCAAGGACCUGUUAUGGGCUUAUUCUUGCUUACUCAGAAUUUUUAAUAUAUACAUGUGCACACACACGUGUGCGUGUGUGUGUGUAUACACAUAGAUUUUUUUCCAAAAAAAUUUCAUUUAAUUUUUUUUUCUAUUUGGGUUUUUUUUUUAUGUUUUUGGUUUUUCUUUUGAUAAUUGAUUCAUAUACCCCAUAACUCAGGCAUGUAUCCUGGGUUGAUCUGGGUGUUGGUCAACACCCUUCUCAGGAGGAUUGUAUAAAUUUAGUAAAAUCCAAGACUAAAAUUUUUUUGAGAGAAAUUUCAGGAAAAGAAGCUCACUAAAUCCCUGAAUCAAGGAAGUGAACUCUUUUAAAGAAGGCACAAUAAAGAAGGCUGUGGAGACCAUACACUGCAUCAGAAGAUCCAUAAUGAACUUUGGGGUGUAGUGAAUCAAACUGAAGGGGGUUGAACACAUUUAUUUUGAAUGUAAACGCUUAUGCCAAAGGGGAUUGCCCCCAAUUGGCUUUUUGUCAGUGUGCCUACCAAUCAUUGGUUUUGCUCUCUUCCUCUUUUAUUUACCCCUGAUCUCCAACUAUUGUAAUUUCCCCUUAGAAAAUGUCGUCUUGUAUGUACCUUUAGCCAAAAGAUCUUUAGAGGUAUAAGCUAGAUAUUUGAAUUGAUUCAUUGGGGAGACUAGGCAUAUAAAUCUGGGAGAUUUCAACAUGCUCACCUUCCAACAGAAUUGGGGGGGGGGGCUUGUGAAAGGGAAUUUUUAAUCCCUUUGUCUAUUUUAAGUUAAUCAAGAACUUAAAGUAUUCCUAUUUAGCACUUAGUAAGUCACUAACAAAGAAAGUUCACACCCUAACAGGCCACAAGCACUGUCCCCCCCCACCCCUGCAGUGCUAGGCAAAUUGGAGGGCUGUGAUUGAGUGAUCAUUCUUGAGAUGUGGAGAGGAGAGCUGAUGGGUGGAGAAAACUAUAUAAAGAGGAGUCUGAGAGAGAUGCACUCUCUUCAUUUCUUGAGCUCUUCCUUCUUGGCAACCUUUAUCCUCAGGAGCCUGAGCUCUGGUGCAGUUCUUUGCAGUCUUGGCCUCAUGUGUGCUGCAGAUUCUCAGCAGUAUUUCAGCAUCUUUAGCUCUUCAUAUUUCGGCUUCCUGAUCUGGACUUUGGAUUCUGAGUUGGCUGUUAAACACUUACAAGCACAUCCCUUGGUCUAAGAUCACCCAGGACUCCUGACUCCCAAUCCAUUUCUACUAUGCCAGUAUCACCUUCAUCCUCAUGAAGCUAGCUGGUACAGUAGAGUGCUGCACCUGGAGCAAGUUCAAAUCCAGCCUCAGAUGCUUAUUUACAUGAUCCUAGGUAAGUAACUUGGUCUGUCUCCCUUAAUUUCCUCAACUGUAAAAUGGGGGAGGAUAAUGGCACCUACCUCUCAGAGUUGUGAGGAUCAAAAGAGAUCAAACUUUUAAAGUACUUAGCAUAGUGGCUGGCACAUUGUAGAGGCUAUAUAAAUGCUUGUCUCCUUCUUUCCUGUUCAUUUGUUAACCCCCAACUCUAUGUGUGCUACUUUAAUAAGUUAAAUAAAUUCUAUUCUGUCCUUAUAGAGUUUAUGUUU
rnacentral:lncRNA from 1 species